CUCUAAGGAGAAAUACUGAAAACAUACCAACUGCCCUAAGUUCCAAAAUCAUAAGCAACAAUUAAGAGCAAUAAUUAAAAUGGAGAGUCCUGUGUUGAGGAAUUGCAAAGACCUGGGUACUAAUUCUUUUCUCCCAGGCAAGUUACUUAACCUCCCAGAGUUUAGAUGUUCAUCUGCAAAACAGGAAUAACAGCACCUGCUCUGCCAGCUUGCACAGCAGUUGUGAGGAUCAAAUGCAGAGGCGGCAAUAAAAGGGCAGCACCACCUGUACCUCCGAGACAAUCCAGGUAUACAAGGUACAAUGAGGUCUGGCCCCAGGGCUGACCUCAGACUGUGCCUUAACACUCUGUGUCUUACUGCAUCAUUUCUGGAAGGUUAUUUCAGAAGGUGGUAAUUACAGAGAGUAAAUUAGGGCUAAAGCAGGAUGAGAACUUGCUUGGAUGUUCUGUUGAGGAAAGAGAGGUGGAAGGAGCAAAGGGCUCAGCACCCAAAACUCUGGGAAUCACUCAACUUUAGAGAAAGAAAGCAAAAGCACUUUUAAAAUGAGUUAAGUGGAAGACGAACAGACAAAUGAGUGCCACAGACCUGAGGGCACGUGACCCAGGAAUGUGCAUCCAAAGAUAAUACUACCUUCAGAGAACUCUACUUAUAGGCUGUGGUUUUUCAAGAAAAAGGAAAAGAUUCAUAAUUCAUUGAGCUCUUUCCUUGUGAGAAGAAAGGCCACUCUUUUGUGUGCUGAAGUUGGACAACAGUUCCCAAGGAAGCUGAAUUCUAGCUGUUUAUUGUUAUUGGGUUUUGCACUAUGCCCUUUAUGUUGUCAUUAAUCAAUAAAUACGUGUGGAACAAAUGAUUAACUAGAUGAAUGAUCUCCAGGUUUUCUGAUAAUGCCAUGAGUAAAAUCAGUAGAAUCAAACAUCUACUUAGAAUACCAUUUUAUAUAGUUUUGCUUUCUGCUUUAGCACUUCUAACCUCUAGAGAAUGUUCUGUAACUCCCACCACGAUUUAAAAAUAAGCCAUAUGUGUAUGUAAUCAAAAUAUACAACACACGUUAUUUUUACAGUCUGCAUAAUAAUAUAUCAAUACUAGACAUGUAUUGCUACUUCUUGUUGUCACUGGAUAAAUUCUGCUCACUAAAUGUGACCUUGACUACUGUGUGUGUGUGUGUGUGUGUGUGUGUGUGUGUGUGAAUGUGAGUGUGUGAGUAUGUAUGUGUCUGUGUGUGUGUGAGUGUUUAUGUAUUGGGAGGCAGGGAGAAGAAACUGAAGAAUAAAAAGGAAGGACGAUACAGUUGCCUCAGCUAUUCUGUUAUACCUGAGGAGCUUUGAAAGGUGAACAACCCGAAGUACUGAAAUGUUCUCAGCAUGAAUUAAGUAAUUCAUCUCUAAAGUGGUCUGAAGAUAGAGGCAAUAGACUUUCCAGUAAUAACAAAUGAUCGAGAUGGAUUUGGCCUGACACUCCAAGAAAGUACAGAUCUACUGUGGUUUUUCCUUUGCCCUCUGUCCCUUUAGGAUUCCUCUUUAGCUCCUUCCAUUUUUUCCCCCAUCCAGUGGUGAAAUUGAAUCACUGAAGCAGCUGAGGCAGAGAGCUUUUCCUUCAGGAUUCACGGCCUAUUUCUCAGUUCUGGGAAGACAACUCUAACAACUCAACAGAGUGAAGAGAGAUAAAGAUGUUGGGAAUGACUGAUUUCAAACAAUCAAAACUGCUUUGGGGAUGAGGAUGAAGUUGGGACAUUACUGCCUUGUAUACCACAUACUAUAAUAUUUAUUAUGUCUAUUGUUUAUUGUGUGUGUCCUUCUUUAGAAUUUUAACUCCCCAAGGGCAAAGAUCCCUGACUGUUUUGCUUAUCAAUGUAUCCAAAAGGCCUAAAACAGAGCCUUGUACCCUAUACACACUCUGCAAAUAUUUGCUGAAUUGAAUAAAAGGCUGCCGAUCUAUAAACUAUGCUGCUUUCAAAUAAAACUAAGACAAGGACAUUGAUAGCAUAUCCUCAUCCCCUGUCUGGCCCCUUGGAUUUGAUUUGAGCCUCUGUGAUUAGAAUGAUGAAGUCUGUUGGGGCUGUUUUCAGGAGAGGUUGUGAGACUCUAGGCACCAGAAGAGCUGCCCUGGGACACAGAGAGGAAAAAGUAAUAAAUAAUGGAGAAGAAAAAAAAAAAAACCAUGGGAAACAAACAAACUCAAACUAGAAAUGAAAUAAGCUAUGGCUUCUGUAAUCCUCCUGCACAUAACAACUAUGGGUUUUGGACAAAAUACAAAAAGCAGCUAUCCAGAGGCACUGAAGAGAAGCCAAGCAGGCAGACAAUGGAGGGGAAUCUGCAUAUGGAAGAAGGAGAUGACAGUGGGAAAGUUCCCAUUAUUACAGCUCUUUGCUGGAAAGCCGGUCCCAAUCCAUGCCAAAUAAAGGUUACUAAAACAUGAAUAGAAAAUCUGUAGUCUUACUGGCAUGAAGAGCCAGGAGACAGGGUUCAUGGUGAUUAUAGCAACCAGAAAGUGAGAAGGGGGAAAUCUUGGAAAAAUGAGAGCCAAAGAGGGGGAAGUAACAUGUUCUAUGUAUAAACUCUGCACAAGUCAUUGGCUGACUCAUGAACCAUGUGUGCAAAUAGCCCAGCUAAGGCUAGAAGAACCAAACAGAGAUUUCUGUUGCUGUGCACUGGAGACAGUUUACAGUUUGAAGUAGUUAAAUUAGCUGCCUGCUUAAAACAAAUCAUCACUCUUCAGAGGAAUAUAACAGAACCCAGAGGCUCUGCAACAUAUCAUUCACAGUUUUCUGGAUAAUAUCUAAAAUACUAGGCAUAUGAAGAAAAAAAGAAAAUGUAAGCCAAAAACAAUCAAUGCAGACUGACACUCAGAUAAAUAAUUAGCAGACAAAAAUUUUAAAUCAGCUAUUUUAACUAUGCUCAUGAAUGUAAAGGAAAAUAGGUUUGUAAAGAAUUAACAAAUACAAAAUCUCAGAGAACUAGAAACUAUUAAAAUGAUCAAAUAAAAAUUCUAAGACCAAAAACUGUAAUAAAAUAUUUGAAAUAAAUGUUGCCAUAUGGGCCUGACAGUAAAUGGAAAUGACUGAAGAAAAACCGAGAGAAUUUGAAGACAGAUCAAUAUAACUAAUUCUAUCUAAAGAAUAUAGAGGAAAAAUACUGGGAAAAAUGAGCAGAGCUUCAGGGACUUGUGGGACAAUACUGAAAGAUCUAGCAUACAUAUAACUAAGUUUCAGAAAGAAAAGAGACAGAGAAUGGAAUAGAAAAAAUAUUGAGGAAGAUGUAAUAUACAUGAUAAAUGUAUAUUAGCAGAAGUGAGUCUACUUUAAAAUGUAAUUUUAGAUUUCAGAUAUAUAUGUGGUAGAAAUAAAAAAUUCAAAGAUAAUUGAUAUAGAAGAUAAUAACAAGGAUAUCCAAAUUGUGUGAAAAAUGUUCUGGAGAUCGAACAAAUAGCAAAAGUACAAAAAGAUCAAAUCACACCAGAGUAACACUCUUCAGAACUGAAAAAAAGUAAUAUCAUAAACCAAGAAAUAUCCUUAGACACUUAUAACUGAG
rnacentral:lncRNA from 10 species